UUCACGUUCUGUCUUUCUUCUUUCCCAACUCAAAAGUCGUCUCCUUGCUCCGACCUUUGCAGUAGUCUCAGCUAAUCCAACCAGGGCUUUGGUGGGUUUUCCAUAUCAGCUCCCCAAAAGUUAAAUCCUCAAUCUUCUCUGUAAAAGUUGACACCUUUUACUUUUCUUCUAUUUUCCUUCCUUAUUGACUAAGCUUGUAUCAUUGCAUUACAUGAUUGACCUGUAUUUAGUUAUUGGAUCAUUAAUUACGUGGUGGUUUCUUAGGAUGAGAUCAUAAGCCCACAAGUUCUAGAGAAUCUUGGAUUAUUUUAACCUCAAAAGAAUUCUAAUCAUCAGGAUCCACUGUGCAAUUAGAACCAUCUUGAAGCUUUUUAAUUUACUGUUCUUCUACUUUGUCUGGCGAACAACUUGUGCCUAAAUCAUCAGAAGCUUCUAGGAUUCUUAGUUGAUUACCCACGAUUCUGUUGAAUUCUAGGAUCUUGAUCUGUUUAAGGAAGGAUGGCUUGUCAGGAAGUUCAAUCAUGGAGCUUUGGUGGUCUUACAGUAGCAUUUCUUGACCUUUUACUUGCUUAUUUCCUGCUAUGCAUAUCAGCUUUUGUGUUUUUCGUAUCGAAGUUGUUGAAGGUUUUCUGGGUGUAUUUGCCUUGUCCUUGUAAUGGGGUUUUCGGGUAUAGAAAUCGUGAUCUUUGCUUGCAUAAGUUGCUUAAUGAGUGGCCUGUUGCCAAGAUUUAUGCUGUUCAGAAGUUGGUGAAGAGUAGGUUCCCUUUUGAUAUUCGGUUUAAGGAUCAAACAUGCAACUUGAGUCAGAAGUUGAUUAGGGAUGUGAAUGGAGGGAAUGGUGUUCUUGAAUUGGAAGGUGAGUCAUGUUGUAGUCCGUUUUCGAGCCCGAGAUUGCAAAGUCUGGUUGAUAAGGAAAGUGGGUAUGAUGCUAAGGGGAAGAGAAUUGUGAUUCUGAAGAAAAGGACUGGAAUUCGGCGUUCUAGGAGGGAUAGUUCAAAAUCUCCUCGUAUAUUCCCCUUUCCUCUUGAUGAAAGAGGUACAGGAGAGAUAUCUGGUGAAAGCUCAAUUGCUGUAGCUGCAAGACACGAUGAGCCUCAAGCAUCCGGAGAUGAUAGAGGGGAAGGAAUAUGUGGACUUUCUAAGUUGAGUGAAUCAGCUGCUGAGAGUAAAGGUCUGGAUGCAAGUUACGGUGAAGAAAAGUUUCCCAUUUUUGAAAAUGAAAGUGAUACAAUCAGGAUGUUGGAAGGAGCACUUGAAAAAGAGAAAGCUGCUUGUGCUGCUCUCUAUUUAGAGCUGGAGAAAGAGCGAUCUGCUGCUGCAACUGCUGCUGAUGAAGCAAUGGCCAUGAUAAGUCGUCUGCAGAAGGAUAAAGCAUCGACAGAAAUGGAAGUGAGACAGUACCAAAGGAUGAUUGAAGAGAAAUUUGUUUAUGAUGAAGAAGAGAUGGAUGUUCUGAAAGAGAUACUUCUUAGGAGGGAGAAGGAGAAUCAUUAUUUGGAGAAGGAAGUUGAAGCAUAUAGACAGAUGAAUUCUUUAGGAAAUGAACAGUGUAAUGGUGAUUCAAAUGAUAAGCUGCGUGAAUGGGGACAAACUGCACUUUCUUCGAAUAUAGAUUCACAACUGAUGAUGCCGUGGACUAAUGAAACUAAAUCUAAUCAUAUGGAACUGGGAUAUAUUGCAGACAGUACCUCUCAGUUUGACGCUUCAUUUGUCAAAAAACAAAUCCAUUCCAAUGGACAUGAUGUUGUUGAGAAAAGUGUCCUUUCAGGAUGGGAAGGAAAACAAUACGCAGAUAAUGCAAUGUGCCCAGGAAUGACUACUGAAGCAGUCCAAGCUAAGAUAGGGAUUGAGAAAAGUUUCUAUAGUGAUGGAGGAGAGCUGCAGCAAGGUGGGGAUCUUGAAAGCCAUUAUCAUAGUCCAUUGCUUGAUACAGAGCCAGCUGUUCAUGACAUUCAUGUCAUAGAUGGUAAAACUGAAAUAGUAAGAGGAGAAAGUAGGCCAUCAAUUUAUGCUGCUUUGGAUGGAUUCCAAGAUCCGAGAUGUGGGGCUUCUGGAGUCUGUAGCAGCUUGGAACCUCUGCUGAGCAUGGGGAAAGGCAAAACGCCUCCUUAAAACUUUCGGAGGAGAUCAGGAAUCAGCUAUUGUAAUUCUAAAGCUAAGAGAUCGAAUGUGACUUGCUUCUUUACUGGCUUUAUCUUCUAAGGUGCAUUUGAAGACAAGACGUAGCCAAAGUAUGUAACACCCCCAGAUGUGUGAAUAUCUGAGGGCUGGUGCUCCAAGUCUAUUUGUAUCUCAUUGAUGGUUGAAAGGGUGAAUGAAUAGGAUAUGCCCCCUAGGUGCUCAGUUGUGCACAUAAACUUUUGCGUAUCGUAGUUUUCAGUUCUGUGAAAUUGGCUUUCAGAGCCAUGUUCCCAAGUGAUGAAUCUGUCCCCCACCUCGUCUUUCCUGGGAAAAGUUCGAAAAAGGAAAUUACCUCGAAUUGUACGGGCAAAGGUUGUAGAUGCAUGUAAGUGUUGCCUUUUAGCUAGCUUCUUAUGAAAUGGAUAUACUAUUCUUUGUUCCUUA